rnacentral:lncRNA from 1 species
UUCCAUUACAAUCGAUCGAUCAAAGACAAAAACCCCAAAUCGCUCGACAAACCCUAGCUCAACCGAAGCGAAGAAGCUUUUAGUCCAAACAAAACAAACAAAUUCAUAGACAAAUCAAUUGAUUGGUUAGUCACAGAUCCAAGAUCCUCCGAGAACCUUCUCACCGUCCUUUGCCGUAGCUCUUUGGCAUCAAUCACCUUCAAUCCCAUGGCCUUGUGCGACGUCUUCGUCGUGGCUUAGCCGGAACACCAUCGAGUCCUCAUGGUGAUUCUUUGGGUGCUUCCACAGGACUCCUUUCGUUUGGAGUCUCUGUAAAUUAUUUCUGUGUCGAUCUUCUAAGUCAGACUCGUUUUCCCAGCUUCUUUUUGGAGCGUGCAGAGACACGAACCCGACACUCCCAGUCCGUCCCGGUGCCGGAUGUAGUAUGUUGGAGGCUCCGGCGACUUUGCUCCGGGGUCGGUGAAGGCGGAGAAAAGAGGAAGAAGAAAAGGAUACCGACGAGGAAGAAGAAGGACCAGAGAAUGAGCUUAGAGUGUGGUCGGAGCUGGUGGAAAUAGGGAAAUGAUUUCUUCGGCUUGAACUUUUCGGGAGUGGAAGGAAUAGCGUCGAGGUGAGAUAGUAUAGGCUUUAACUACGUCAUUUUUCGCCGGCACCGGUGCAGAGUCGUUCAAAACCCUAGUUUCUGCUUGAAAUUAAUUUGGUGGAACGGAACUUCUGCUUAAGAAUGUAGAUUGAAGAAGCAAGACGAAGACUUUUUCUCUUCUUAAGUGUCAUUGGUGGAGGUGGUGGCUAUGGAGGUCGCCGGAAAAGUGGUGGCAAUGGUGGUUGGGUUAUAGACAAUUGGUCUUUAAUUUUCAGCUUGUGUUGAUUGUUAGUCGCCAUUGUUGAUUGCAGAAUGUCUGUGUACAGAUUUGUUUUAUUUUAA